GACGAACGCUGGCGGCGUGCUUAACACAUGCAAGUCGAACGGAAAGGCCCUGCUUUUGUGGGGUGCUCGAGUGGCGAACGGGUGAGUAACACGUGAGUAACCUGCCCUUGACUUUGGGAUAACUUCAGGAAACUGGGGCUAAUACCGGAUAGGAGCUCCUGCUGCAUGGUGGGGGUUGGAAAGUUUCGGCGGUUGGGGAUGGACUCGCGGCUUAUCAGCUUGUUGGUGGGGUAGUGGCUUACCAAGGCUUUGACGGGUAGCCGGCCUGAGAGGGUGACCGGCCACAUUGGGACUGAGAUACGGCCCAGACUCCUACGGGAGGCAGCAGUGGGGAAUAUUGCACAAUGGGCGGAAGCCUGAUGCAGCAACGCCGCGUGCGGGAUGACGGCCUUCGGGUUGUAAACCGCUUUCGCCUGUGACGAAGCGUGAGUGACGGUAAUGGGUAAAGAAGCACCGGCUAACUACGUGCCAGCAGCCGCGGUGAUACGUAGGGUGCGAGCGUUGUCCGGAUUUAUUGGGCGUAAAGGGCUCGUAGGUGGUUGAUCACGUCGGAAGUGUAAUCUUGGGGCUUAACCCUGAGCGUGCUUUCGAUACGGGUUGACUUGAGGAAGGUAGGGGAGAAUGGAAUUCCUGGUGGAGCGGUGGAAUGCGCAGAUAUCAGGAGGAACACCAGUGGCGAAGGCGGUUCUCUGGGCCUUUCCUGACGCUGAGGAGCGAGAGCGUGGGGAGCGAACAGGCUUAGAUACCCUGGUAGUCCACGCUGUAAACGGUGGGUACUAGGUGUGGGGUCCAUUCCACGGGUUCCGUGCCGUAGCUAACGCUUUAAGUACCCCGCCUGGGGAGUACGGCCGCAAGGCUCAAACUCAAAGGAAUUGACGGGGCCCCGCACAAGCGGCGGAGCAUGCGGAUUAAUUCGAUGCAACGCGUAGAACCUUACCUGGGUUUGACAUGGAUCGGGAGUGCUCAGAGAUGGGUGUGCCUCUUUUGGGGUCGGUUCACAGGUGGUGCAUGGCUGUCGUCAGCUCGUGUCGUGAGAUGUUGGGUUAAGUCCCGCAACGAGCGCAACCCUUGUUCACUGUUGCCAGCACGUUAUGGUGGGGACUCAGUGGAGACCGCCGGGGUCAACUCGGAGGAAGGUGGGGAUGACGUCAAGUCAUCAUGCCCCUUAUGUCCAGGGCUUCACGCAUGCUACAAUGGCUGGUACAGAGAGUGGCGAGCCUGUGAGGGUGAGCGAAUCUCGGAAAGCCGGUCUCAGUUCGGAUUGGGGUCUGCAACUCGACCUCAUGAAGUCGGAGUCGCUAGUAAUCGCAGAUCAGCAACGCUGCGGUGAAUACGUUCCCGGGGCU
rnacentral:rRNA from 1 species